rnacentral:rRNA from 1 species
CUUGAACCUGAGAGUUUGAUCCUGGCUCAGAACGAACGCUGGCGGCAUGCCUAACACAUGCAAGUCGA